UACGUAGGGGGCAAGCGUUGUCCGGAUUUAUUGGGCGUAAAGAGCGUGUAGGCGGCUAGGUAGGUCCGUUGUGAAAACUCGAGGCUCAACCUCGAGACGCCGGUGGAAACCAUCUAGCUAGAGUCCGGAAGAGGAGAAUGGAAUUCCCGGUGUAGCGGUGAAAUGCGCAGAUAUCAGGAGGAACACCGGUGGCGAAGGCGGGUCUCUGGGCCGAAACUGACGCUGAGGAGCGAAAGCGUGGGGAGCAAACAGG
rnacentral:rRNA from 1 species